rnacentral:rRNA from 1 species
UUAACGCUGAGGUGUGAUGACGAGGCACUACGGUGCUGAAGUAACAAAUGCCCUGCUUCCAGGAAAAGCCUCUAAGCAUCAGGUAACACGAAAUCGUACCCCAAACCGACACAGGUGGUCAGGUAGAGAAUACCAAGGCGCUUGAGAGAACUCGGGUGAAGGAACUAGGCAAAAUGGUGCCGUAACUUCGGGAGAAGGCACGCUGAUAUGUAGGUGAAGUGAUUUACUCAUGGAGCUGAAAUCAGUCGAAGAUACCAGCUGGCUGCAACUGUUUAUUAAAAACACAGCACUGUGCAAACACGAAAGUGGACGUAUACGGUGUGACGCCUGCCCGGUGCCGGAAGGUUAAUUGAUGGGGUUAUCCGUAAGGAGAAGCUCUUGAUCGAAGCCCCGGUAAACGGCGGCCGUAACUAUAACGGUCCUAAGGUAGCGAAAUUCCUUGUCGGGUAAGUUCCGACCUGCACGAAUGGCGUAAUGAUGGCCAGGCUGUCUCCACCCGAGACUCAGUGAAAUUGAACUCGCUGUGAAGAUGCAGUGUACCCGCGGCAAGACGGAAAGACCCCGUGAACCUUUACUAUAGCUUGACACUGAACACUGGUCCUUGAUGUGUAGGAUAGGUGGGAGGCUUUGAAGUGUGGACGCCAGUCUGCAUGGAGCCAUCCUUGAAAUACCACCCUUUAAUGGCUGGUGUUCUAACGUAGACCCGUAAUCCGGGUUGCGGACAGUGUCUGGUGGGUAGUUUGACUGGGGCGGUCUCCUCCUAAAGAGUAACGGAGGAGCACGAAGGUUAGCUAAUCCUGGUCGGACAUCAGGAGGUUAGUGCAAAGGCAUAAGCUAGCUUGACUGCGAGAGUGACGGCUCGAGCAGGUGCGAAAGCAGGUCUUAGUGAUCCGGUGGUUCUGAAUGGAAGGGCCAUCGCUCAACGGAUAAAAGGUACUCCGGGGAUAACAGGCUGAUACCGCCCAAGAGUUCAUAUCGACGGCGGUGUUUGGCACCUCGAUGUCGGCUCAUCACAUCCUGGGGCUGAAGUAGGUCCCAAGGGUAUGGCUGUUCGCCAUUUAAAGUGGUACGCGAGCUGGGUUUAGAACGUCGUGAGACAGUUCGGUCCCUAUCUGCCGUGGGCGCUGGAGAAUUGAGGGGGGCUGCUCCUAGUACGAGAGGACCGGAGUGGACGCAUCACUGGUGUUCGGGUUGUCAUGCCAAUGGCAUUGCCCGGUAGCUAAAUGCGGAAGAGAUAAGUGCUGAAAGCAUCUAAGCACGAAACUUGCCCCGAGAUGAGUUCUCCCUGAC